rnacentral:rRNA from 1 species
UAGGGAAUCUUCGGCAAUGGACGGAAGUCUGACCGAGCAACGCCGCGUGAGUGAAGAAGGUUUUCGGAUCGUAAAGCUCUGUUGUUAGAGAAGAACGUUGGUAGGAGUGGAAAAUCUACCAAGUGACGGUAACUAACCAGAAAGGGACGGCUAACUCCUUUCCAGAAUCCGCGGUAAUACGUAGGUCCCGACCGUUGUCAGGAUUUAUUGGGCGUAAAGCUAGCGCAGGCGGUUCUUUAAGUCUGAAGUUAAAGGCAGUGGCUUAAACAUUGUACGCUUUGGAAACUGGAGGACUUGGGUGCAGAAGGGGAGGGUGGAAUUCCAUGUGUAGAGGUGAAAGGCGUAGAUAUAUGGAGGAACACCGGUGGCGAAAGCGGCUCUCUGGUCUGUAACUGACGCUGAGGCUCGAAAGCGUGGGAAGCAAACAGG